rnacentral:rRNA from 2 species
GCGGAGGGUGAAUGCCUUGGCACUAGGAGCCGAUGAAGGACGGGACUAACACCGAUAUGCUUCGGGAGCGGGAUAGUGAGCUUUGAUCCGGAGAUUACCGAAUGGGGAAACCCACUGUUCGUAAUGGAACAGGAUCUUUAUCUGAAUACAUAGGAAAAAGAACGCAGACCCCGGGUAGUGAAACAUCUAAGAUCCGGGAGGUAGCGAACGCACUUGCCAUACCCUGAGUAGCGGCGAGCGAAACGGAAUUAGCCCAAACCAAGAGGCUUGCCUCUUGGGGUUGUAGGACACUCUAUACGGAGUUACAAAGGAACGAAGUAAAUGAAGCGACCUGGAAAGGUCCGUCAAAGAAGGUAACAACCCUGUAGUUGAAACUUCGUUCCCUCUUGAGUGGAUCCUGAGUACGGCGGAACACGUGAAAUUCCGUCGGAAGCUGGGAGGACCAUCUCCCAAGGCUAAAUACUACCUAGUGACCGAUAGUGAACCAGUACCGUGAGGGAAAGGUGAAAAGCACCCCGGAAGGGGAGUGAAAGAGAUCCUGAAACCGUGUGCCUACAAGUAGUCAGAGCCCGUUAAUGGGUGAUGGCGUGCCUUUUGUAGAAUGAACCGGCGAGUUACGAUCCCAUGCAAGGUUAAGCUGAUAAGGCGGAGCCGUAGCGAAAGCGAGUCUGAAUAGGGCGUUUAGUAUGUGGUUGUAGACCCGAAACCAGGUGAUCUACCC